rnacentral:lncRNA from 1 species
GUACAUUCAAGACUAGACUAUCUGAAACCAUGAAGGGUCACAAUACAGGAGAUGCAUUUCACUGUAUUAUAACAUUAUUACUUUGAGAUGUACAGAGGUUAUAGUAACAUACCGAAGAUUUUACAAACUCUUGGAUAUGGGGUCCACAUACCUUCUGAAAUGUGUCUGAACAUUCUCCAGGUGCAGCUUUCCAUGAGCAGCAAACGGGUCUGUAGCCACAACGACAGCCCACCUAUCAUGAACUGAUGGCCACAGAGGUGGAAGCUUAGAAAACAGUUUUCUUUUCCUGGUGGGUGUUUCCAUGAGGUGAUAGAGAAUUCAGCAAGAAUAAAAGCUGUCCCUAAAGCCUGCCUGCUCCUUGG